ACCAUGACUACUAUCACUCUUGUCUUGAGAUGGUCGUUUAUUAAAAGUCUGUUGAGUCUUGGAAGACUACUCAUCUUUUUGAGUUUUUGUACGGAAAGACUACUUUAGAUUUUAAAAUAGCAGGCUUAACAACAAAUUGAACCUCCUCACCAUGUUCUUGAAGAGUGUUGGUAAUAGGACCUACGAUAUUCACCAAAGAUUGCAAGUUAGCUUUAAGAAAGUUCCCAUGAACUUUGGGC
rnacentral:lncRNA from 1 species